CCUAUAAAUUAAACCACUCCGACGAUUUGAAGCUUUAAACCAAAAACUAAACAUUCGAUUAACGGCGAAACCAGAGUGUGUAUCUGUGUUGCUCCUCCGAACUCCCCCUCAGAGGAAGGAUAUAUCGAUAUAGAGACAGUGUGUAAUGGCGGCGGGUAGGGUGCCGCAUCCGCCACUGAAAGGGCCGAACCUGGUGAAGGAGAUAGCAAUGGGAAUUGCGGUGGCGAUGGUGGCGGCGAUGCCGUGGAAAAUGUACCAAUGGGAUUUGCAGAAGAGGACCAGGACUAUGUAUGAGUUGCUCGACAAAGGUGAAGCAACUGUUGUUGCUCAAGAAUAAUAUGUAUAUCCUCCAUCCUUCAAAAAAAUAAAUGAAUAACAAGAAGCUAGGUUUUUGACAAAUUCC